GCCUGAAGCAGGAGGCAGAAGGGAUGCGGAAGAAGGGAGAUGCUGGGCUCCCUCGAGGCGGAGGAGACGGAGGCCGCCGUGCUGCUUGUUGGACCCCACGGAGGUGCCCUAUCUUUGUGGAUGAACUUGAGCCAAUCCUUGGUUCCCAGGGGCUCCCAGGGGCAGGAAACCCACCUGAAGUUGAAGGCUCCAGUAAGGUAAGCACUAUAGGUUUGACAGGUGAUAUUGCUCCCACUUUCAGAUGAUGACAUUCAGGACAGAGGGGUUCUUUGGUCAGCAAGAGUCAAUGCCAAUGAUGAUAGGUGAUGUUCUUGUGAUGGGUACUAUGCGGGCAUUGUUCUCAGCAUCCUUUUUUUUUUUUUCUUUCCAAUUUUAUUGGCAUAUAGCAUGGUAUCAGCCCAAGGUGUAAAGCAUAAUGCUUUGGUACCUAUAUAUAGUUGCUUUUCUUGUGAUGAGAACUUUUAAGGAUUUACUCUCUUAAUAACUUUCAAAUAUACAAUAGAGUAUUAUUAACUAUAGUCACCGUGCCAUACAUUACAUCUCUAGAAAUUGUUAUAAUGAAGUUUAUAACUUUUGACCAUCUUCACUCUUUUUUCUCCUCCCUCACCUCUGCCUCUGCCAACCCCCAAACUGUUCUCUGUAUCUGUGAAUUUGGUUUUUUAGAUUCCACAUAUAAGUGAGAUCAUACUUUGUCUUUUUCUGUGUUUUCUUAUUUCAUGUAGUACAACAACCUCCAGGUUUAUCUGUAUUGUCACAAAUGGCAGAAUUUCCUUCUUUUUUAUGGCCGAAUAAUAUUCCACUCUAUACAAAUACCAUAUCUUCUUUAUCCAUUCACCUGUCGAUGGACACUUAGGUUGUUUGCAUGUCUUAGCUGUGCUGCUAUAAAUGUGGGGGUGCAGAUAUCUUUUUGAGACAGUGAUUUCAUUUCCUUGUGCUCAGCAUCUUAUUUGAAUUAUGUCCUCCCUGUGAUGUUGGCACUUGAAUGAUCCCCAUUUUAUAGCUAGGUUAACUGAGACAAGAGAGUUUAAGUUACCUGCUUAAGGUUACAAAGCAUAUGUGAUGGUGCUGGAAUUCAAUUCCAGGUAGUCUGACAUCAGAGCAGGUAUCUGACCACCAUGCUUCUUUGAGUUCAACACCAGCCAGGUCUUCUGAUUCUAAGCCCACCCUUCUUUCCAAUACAUUGUAACAGUCAGUUCUUGGCAUAUAAAUGUCAAAUAUCAAGCCAAUAAUUUCGUAUGUAAGGAUUUCAAAGGUGUACCUCUGGGGAGCCUAUGAUCUCAGACACACUGUAGGAAAUAAAUUGCUGGGGUUUAGUAUCUUCA
rnacentral:lncRNA from 1 species